rnacentral:rRNA from 1 species
GAGUACGGUCGCAAGACUGAAACUCAAAGGAAUUGACGGGGACCCGCACAAGCGGUGGAGUAUGUGGUUUAAUUCGAAGCAACGCGAAGAACCUUACCAGGUCUUGACGUCCCUUUAACCCCUCAAAAAAGGGAGGUUCCCUUCGGGACACAGGACACAGGUGCUGCAUGGGUGUCGUCAGCUCGUGUCGUGAGAUGUUGGGUUAAGUCCCGCAACGAGCGCAACCCUUGUUAUUAUUUGCCACCAUUUAGUUGGGCACUCUAAGAUGAGUGCGGGUGACACACCAGAGGAGGGGGGGGAUGACGUCAAAUCAUCCCGCCCCUUUUGAGCUGGGCUACACACGUGCUACAAUGGGCGGUACACCGGGGGGCGAAAGAGCGAAGUGGAGAGCAUAUCAAAAAACCCCUCUCAGAUCGGAGAGUGGGGUGUGACUCUCCUGUGUGAGAAUCGAGAUUCUCUUAUUAUCGGAUAUCCACGUUGCGGUGAAUACAUUUUCCGGGGUUGUAGACACCGCCCCCCACACCACGAGAGUUUUUCACACCCCCAGACGCUGGGGGAACAGCCUUGGGGAACACCCGCGCCAUGGGGUGA